UACGUAGGGUGCGAGCGUUGCCCGGAUUUAUUGGGCGUAAAGGGCGCGUAGGCGGCUCUGCACGUCCGUUGUGAAAUCGCCCGGCUCAACUGGGCGGGGUCAGCGGAUACGGCGGAGCUUGAGCAAGCUAGGGGGCAAUGGAAUUCCCGGUGUAGAGGUGAAAUUCGUAGAUAUUGGGAAGAACACCGGUGGCGAAGGCGGCUCACUGGCUCGUAACUGACGCUCAUGCACGACAGCGUGGGGAUCAAACAGG
rnacentral:rRNA from 1 species